GUUGUCUUUCUGUAUAUGUUUUAUCUUAUUGGUUGAUGAAUAAAGCACUGUUGGCCAAUAGGCAGCAAGAUAGGCGGGUCUAGGAGAUGAGAAUUCUGGGAAGUGUAAGCAGAGAGCAGUUGUCAUGUGAUCCCAGGAGAAGUCAGGUGUUCUUUGGUAAGAUAAGACCAUGUAGAAAUACUUAGAUUAAUAGAAAUGGGUUAAUAAUUAAGACAGAGCUAGCCAAUAAGAAGCCCAAGCCAACAGCCAACAGUUUCAUAAUUAAUUCAACAUCUGCAUCUUUAUUUGGGGAUCAAGGGCCAUGGGACCUGCUGGGACAAAGAACCUUUUGUAACAGUGACAUCAUUUUCUAGCAAGUGUUACCUCUCAUACCCUGGACACAAGAAGAUGGAACAUAUUAGAUUAAACUAUGUGGAGAUGAAUAUUUAUGAGUGGCUGACAUUUUUGAAGGAAAGAAGCUAUAUCGAUGGAUGUGAUCUAUACCCACAGAAAGCAAAUGGCAGACUAAGAAACCAAGGCUGGGAAGGGUCGGGAGGAACCUAACCACAGCCUUGCACCGCCUCUGGGGAAAAUCGUCAUCAAACUCUGCCUUGAACGUCCACCUUGAACUUGUGGAGCUGACAGCAUGUAAUUUACUGCUUCGUUUUCGUCUGGCCCAGGUUAUUCUUGUUCUGUUCCCUGGCUGUUUGUGUCCAAUGGGAGUGGCUUGCCUUGGCCUCGGGUUUCUACGUGUAAUUAUUCCACCACUGCCCCCUUAAUUACAUGGCUGUUGUCUUUCAACUCUUAGUUCCAUGUGUCAUUAUCAUUUAUUCUGAGCUUUCUCCAUCCCCUC
rnacentral:lncRNA from 1 species